UGGUAGUGCCAUCGUGGCAUCGCCUCACGCGAUCGCAAUCAAAGAAUCGAAAACACGUAUUAGGAGCCCGAUGGAUCUUGCUUCCGAUUGCAUGGUCUCGGUCGUGGCCCACCACUCGUUGAAUUCCUGCUUGAUAUUCUCGAAUAUGGAAUGGGCAUUUAGCGCGAUCUCAGGAUCUGAUGGAUCUAAAAUUCCAACAAAAUCUAAAAUGAGUAAAAUCCACUCGAGUUUCACAGUCGUGUUCCAAGUCGCAGGAAAGCUGCUGGACAAGACAUAACAACACAGGCGAACUAAGAAUCAAUGGAAAAUGACUACAAAUUCUUUUCACAUUCACCUGUAAAACCAAAAGUAACGUUAAAUUUACAAAAGACAUUGUCACUGUGAUCCACCGGCCGGCCGACCUACCUGAAACAAAAGCCAAGAGACAACAGAGAAAUCACUCAUUUGAAGGCUAGAGGUAAACGCUUCGUCAAAUCUAUUUAGAUUUAUCGAUUUUGCAAUCUCUAUCUUCACUCGCAAAUCCUCUCCAAUCUAUAACAACGUGUUUGCUCAAAGUCAGUACAACCCCUAGGGCUUUGAUCGAUUUGUAAGGCUCUGUAGUAAAGUUGUCAGGGAAUCAAUGGUUGUGAACUGUCGGAUUCUCACGAUGAUGUCGAGAAUUUUCUGAAGGAGCUGACAUGAGUAUGAGCAGUCGAUAGAUUCCUCGCUCUCUCUGCAGAUCACCAAUUCCUCUGGCCCAGAUGCGAUCGAGUUUUGGGAUGCGACAUUGACUGAAUCUCUAGGUCAGCAUGUUCAUUUUCCGGACGCUUGAUGUCCAGAUGCCGUUGGUGAGAGGAUCCCGUGGCUUCCUGUCCCGAAUUGUGUCGAGAUUUCUUGUGGAUGGUCCCUGACCUCUGCCCGUCCAUCUGGAUUGCAAUCAGGACAUUUCCCGAUCAGAUCUCGAGAUUUCAAAAGAUCGCGCCAAGCCGAAUGCAGUGGACUUAAGCGGAAACUGUCCAAGGAGCUCGAAUUCGUAAUGCAGUCUUUUCGGUUUUCACUACUUUGUGGCAAUUUUCAAUUGGGAUAUCGAAUUUAUUGCAGGCCACUCAUUCGUAUGGAUACGAUAGAGAUUAGAGAAUAGAGAGGC
rnacentral:lncRNA from 1 species